rnacentral:rRNA from 1 species
AAAGCGUGCGCAGGCGGUUUUGUAAGUCUGUCGUGAAAGCCCCGGGCUUAACCUGGGAAUUGCGAUGGAGACUGCAAGGCUUGAAUCUGGCAGAGGGGGGUAGAAUUCCACGUGUAGCAGUGAAAUGCGUAGAGAUGUGGAGGAACACCGAUGGCGAAGGCAGCCCCCUGGGUCAAAACUGACGCUCAUGCACGAAAGCGUGGGGAGCAAACAGGAUUAGAUACCCUUGU